rnacentral:rRNA from 1 species
GAUGUGCCCAGAUGGGAUUAGCUAGUAGGUGGGGUAACGGCUCACCUAGGCGACGAUCCCUAGCUGGUCUGAGAGGAUGACCAGCCACACUGGAACUGAGACACGGUCCAGACUCCUACGGGAGGCAGCAGUGGGGAAUAUUGCACAAUGGGCGCAAGCCUGAUGCAGCCAUGCCGCGUGUGUGAAGAAGGCCUUCGGGUUGUAAAGCACUUUCAGCGGGGAGGAAGGCGAUAAGGUUAAUAACCUUGUCGAUUGACGUUACCCGCAGAAGAAGCACCGGCUAACUCCGUGCCAGCAGCCGCGGUAAUACGGAGGGUGCAAGCGUUAAUCGGAAUUACUGGGCGUAAAGCGCACGCAGGCGGUCUGUCAAGUCGGAUGUGAAAUCCCCGGGCUCAACCUGGGAACUGCAUUCGAAACUGGCAGGCUAGAGUCUUGUAGAGGGGGGUAGAAUUCCAGGUGUAGCGGUGAAAUGCGUAGAGAUCUGGAGGAAUACCGGUGGCGAAGGCGGCCCCCUGGACAAAGACUGACGCUCAGGUGCGAAAGCGUGGGGAGCAAACAGGAUUAGAUACCCUGGUAGUCCACGCCGUAAACGAUGUCGAUUUGGAGGUUGUGCCCUUGAGGCGUGGCUUCCGGAGCUAACGCGUUAAAUCGACCGCCUGGGGAGUACGGCCGCAAGGUUAAAACUCAAAUGAAUUGACGGGGGCCCGCACAAGCGGUGGAGCAUGUGGUUUAAUUCGAUGCAACGCGAAGAACCUUACCUGGUCUUGACAUCCACAGAACUUUCCAGAGAUGGAUUGGUGCCUUCGGGAACUGUGAGACAGGUGCUGCAUGGCUGUCGUCAGCUCGUGUUGUGAAAUGUUGGGUUAAGUCCCGCAACGAGCGCAACCCUUAUCCUUUGUUGCCAGCGGUUAGGCCGGGAACUCAAAGGAGACUGCCAGUGAUAAACUGGAGGAAGGUGGGGAUGACGUCAAGUCAUCAUGGCCCUUACGACCAGGGCUACACACGUGCUACAAUGGCAUAUACAAAGAGAAGCGACCUCGCGAGAGCAAGCGGACCUCAUAAAGUAUGUCGUAGUCCGGAUUGGAGUCUGCAACUCGACUCCAUGAAGUCGGAAUCGCUAGUAAUCGUAGAUCAGAAUGCUACGGUGAAUACGUUCCCGGGCCUUGUACACACCGCCCGUCACACCAUGGGAGUGGGUUGCAAAAGAAGUAGGUAGCUUAACCUUCGGGAGGGCGCUUACCACUUUGUGAUUCAUGACUGGGGUGAAGUCGUAACAAGGUAACCGUAGGGGAACCUGCGGUUG